rnacentral:rRNA from 1 species
GAUGAACGCUGGCGGCGUGCCUAAUACAUGCAAGUCGAGCGAACGGACGAGAAGCUUGCUUCUCUGAUGUUAUCAGCGGACGGGUGCUUACCACGUGGAUAACCUACCUAUAAGACUGGGAUAACUUCGGGAAACCGUAUCUAAUACCGGAAAAUAUUUUGCACCGCAUGGUUCAAAAGUGAAAGACGGUCUUGCUGUCACUUAUAGAUGGAUCCGCGCUGCAUUAGCUAGUUGGUAAGGUAACGGCUUACCAAGGCAACGAUGCAUAGCCCACCUGAGAGGGUGAACGGCCACACGGGAACUGAGAAACGGUACAGACUCCGACGGGAGGCCGCAGUAGGGAAUCUUCCGCGAUGGGCGAGAGCCUGAUGGAGCAACGCCGCGGGAGUGAUGAAGGACUUCUGAUCGUAGAGCUCUGUUAUUAGGGAAGAAGAAAUGUGUAAGUAACUGUGCACAUCUUGACGGUACCUAAACAGAAAGCCACGGCUAACUACGUG